CAUCCUUUCCAGAAGCCAUCGCCUCUGGACUUGGUGGUGACAGGAGCAGCAUUAGGGUUUGGUGAAGGGUCAGUGCUGUAUAUACACCAACUGGUGCACCAGUUAGUUAA